AACGAACGCUGGCGGCGUGGAUUAGGCAUGCAAGUCGAGCGGUAACCCUGUUGUAGCAAUACGAUGGGGCUAGAGCGGCGAACGGGUGAGUAAUGCAUGGGCAAUCUACCCCUAAGUUGGGAAUAACGUACCGAAAGGUGCGCUAAUACCGAAUGACACUGCACAUCUUCUGUUGUGUAGUCAAAGAUGGCCUCUGCUUGCAAGCUUUCGCUGAAGGAUGAGUCCGCGUACCAUUAGCUAGUUGGUAGGGUAAUGGCCUACCAAGGCAACGAUGGUUAGCUGGUCUGAGAGGAUGAUCAGCCACACUGGAACUGAGACACGGUCCAGACUCCUACGGGAGGCAGCAGUGAGGAAUAUUGCGCAAUGGGGGCAACCCUGACGCAGCAACGCCGCGUGAGUGAGGAAGGUUUUCGGACCGUAAAGCUCUGUCGAGCGGGAAGAAAUGCACGAUGGCUAAUAUCCAUCAUGCUUGACGGUACCGCUAAAGGAAGCACCGGCUAACUCCGUGCCAGCCGCCGCCGUAAGAC
rnacentral:rRNA from 1 species